rnacentral:rRNA from 1 species
CCUACGGGGGGCAGCAGUGAGGAAUAUUGGUCAAUGGGCGCGAGCCUGAACCAGCCAAGUAGCGUGAAGGAUGACUGCCCUACGGGUUGUAAACUUCUUUUAUAAAGGAAUAAAGUGAGGCACGUGUGCCUUUUUGUAUGUAUUUUAUGAAUAAGGACCGGCUAAUUCCGUGCCAGCAGCCGCGGUAAUACGGAGGAUCCGAGCCUUAUCCGGAUUUAUUGGGUUUAAAGGGAGCGUAGGUGGGUUGUUAAGUUCGGUGUGAAAGUUUGCGGCUCAACCGUAAGAUUGCAAUUGAUACUGGCAGCCUUGAGUACGGUUGAGGUAGGCGGAAUUCGUGGUGUAGCGGUGAAAUGCGUAGAUAUCAGGAAGAACUCCGAUUGCGAAGGCAGCCUACUGAACUGCCACUGACAUUGAGGCUCGAAAGUGUGGGUAUCAAACAGGAUUAGAUACCCGUGUAGUC